UGGGAAUAUUGGACAAUGGGCGCAAGCCUGAUCCAGCAAUGCCGCGUGAGUGAUGAAGGCCUUCGGGUUGUAAAGCUCUUUCGCACGCGACGAUGAUGACGGUAGCGUGAGAAGAAGCCCCGGCUAACUUCGUGCCAGCAGCCGCGGUAAUACGAAGGGGGCUAGCGUUGUUCGGAAUUACUGGGCGUAAAGGGCGCGUAGGCGGUGUGUCAAGUCAGGCGUGAAAGCCCCGGGCUCAACCUGGGAACCGCGCUUGAGACUGGCACGCUCGAGUUCGAGAGAGGAUGGUGGAAUUCCCAGUGUAGAGGUGAAAUUCGUAGAUAUUGGGAAGAACACCGAUGGCGAAGGCAGCCAUCUGGACCGACACUGACGCUGAGGCGCGAAAGCGUGGGGAGCAAACAGGAUUAGAUACCCUGGUAGUCCACGCCGUAAACGAUGGGUGCUAGACGUCGGGGCCCUUAGGGGCUUCGGUGUCGCAGGCUAACGC
rnacentral:rRNA from 1 species